GUCUGAAUCUCCGGCUGCAUGAACGAGCCUCGAUUCACUACAAGCCUGAACUUCUACGACGCGCCUCUGCCAUACCUCCACUGCUGCGCGGCGCAGGAUGUAAUCAAUCCCACAUGUUUCAUCUGCGCGACUCGGGGAUUUGCACUUUGAAUAUUUUUGUACUAUUUUUCUUUUCUUGCCACGCAAAUGGAUGUAAUUUACCAGACAUGACGGGGACUCGGUUUCCAGCCUGCAAAGCCGAACGCACGCUCGACGCGAGGGGAGCCCGAAGUUCAUAAAAGGGAUUAUUUGCAUCUGGGUGCCUGAGACCUUCGGUGCCUGCCGGAUUUUACUUUGGGAUUUUGGGAUUUAUCGCCUUCUCGACGGGAUGGAGAGCCGAGACUUCGCUCCUCCGCACCACCUCCUGACGGAGCGGGGCGCGCUGGUUCACGGCGCCGCGGCUCGGCUGGCGCCGGGCGGCCACGGCUCCGUGCAGCACCCCGCUCACUACCAGCCGGGGAAGUACUACCCGUCGCACCUCUCCAUGGGUGCGCACUCAGAAUGAAUGGACCACAGGGGCGGGGCACCGGCAUGUCGGACUGGAAGACGACCAGAAGUCCCAGAACAGGCUUCUUCUCUGUUCACCGCAGCGGCCGAGCAACUGUGGGGGUUAUGGUUGGGGGUUUGCCAUCGCACACGUCCCCACGCAGACACACACACGCACACACACACACCAGUUAGACGGAAUUGCAUUAUUGGCUCUCACCGCAGGCUUUCCUGAAAUAUCAGCAGCCGUAUGCUUUUAAUUAGUGUGUGUGUGUGUGUGUGUGUGUGUGUGUGUGCGACCAUACAUACCGUUUGUGUCUCAUUCUGACCCACAGGACCCGUCUCGUAGGACCCCAAAAUCCCCUGUUUUCUUUGGUAGAACAUGGAAAAACGUGCU
ensembl:lncRNA